GGACUACCCGGGUAUCUAAUCCUGUUUGCUCCCCACGCUUUCGCGCCUCAGCGUCAGUAUCGGACCAGGUCGCCGCCUUCGCCACCGGUGUUCUUCCCAAUAUCUACGAAUUUCACCUCUACACUGGGAAUUCCACGACCCUCUUCCGAACUCCAGCACAGCCGUCUUAAACGCAGUCCCCAGGUUGAGCCCAGGAAUUUCACGUCUAACAAGCCACGCCGCCUACGCGCCCUUUACGCCCAGUCAUUCCGAGCAACGCUAGCCCCCUUCGUAUUACCGCGGCUGCUGGCAC
rnacentral:rRNA from 1 species